UUUUGGUUCUCUCGUUAUUUGGAGAUUACAACCCGUUUUGUGCCAAACAGAAAGAGAACGUGACCGUGUCUCGAUCGCCCUCAUCUUUCCCUUCCACUCCCUUCAUCACAUCGGAACCCUUUAAACCCUAACAUCGUUCUCCAGACCCGACCAAUUCCGCUUCCUUUGGAAUAUUAAUCCAAAGAUUAUGGAUGAGACAAGGGUAAAUGAUAUUCGCACCAAAUUAUAUGAAGGACUUCUCCAGUAGGACAAGUAUUGUUUCCAAAGGCAAGCUUUGAAUUGUACCCAACUGUUUCGUGGAUAGCGUGUUGGAAAACUCAGAUCUUUCAAAUCCGGUGCUGGUGUGCUCAAGCGCUUAACCAGCUCUUUGCUGUCCCUAUAUUGAAAAAUGAUCAUAGAAGAUUAUGAUCCAUUAGGUUCUCACCUGCUCUACUCCCAACACCUUGAAAGCGUGCAGAAAAAUCUAGUAUUUCCCUUACUGUCAUCUCGGGAAUAUGUAGGUCAUAUUGGCUUAUGUAAGCUGAUGUCUUCUCAGGCACGAACUCUUCCAAUCCAAGGCCGUUAUUUUUCUUCAGCAACAUUUCCAUCAUCUCGAUGAUCAAAAACAGAUGUUCUCACUCGUUCAAGGGUGGGUAAUCUCUCAAUUGCAGCCCAAGUCAACUCAUGCUCAUCGUCAUCAUCAGCCCUCGUAGAACCAACACU